GACGAACGCUGGCGGCGUGCUUAACACAUGCAAGUCGAACGAAGUGGCGAACGGGUGAGUAACGCGUAAUCAACCUGCCCUUCAGAGGGGGACAACAGGUGGAAACGACUGCUAAUACCGCAUACUGAAGGAGGGGAGUGCGUCUGGUUAGCUAGUUGGAGGGGUAACGGCCCACCAAGGCGAAGAUCAGCAGGCGGGCUGGGAGGAGGAACGGCCACAUUGGGAAUGGGACCCGGGCCAGACUUCUACGGGAGGCAGCAGUGGGGAAUCUUCCGACAUGGACGAAAGUCUGACGGAGCAACGCCGCGUGAGUGAUGACGGCCUUCGGGUUGUAAAGCUCUGUUAAUCGGGACGCGGUACCGGAAUAGAAAGCCACGGCUAACUACGUGCCAGCAGCCGCGGUAAUUC
rnacentral:rRNA from 1 species